GGCUACAGUUCUCUUCAUGUGACUCGAGGACUUCCCUUUGUCAUCUUAUGCCUGAAAAUAUAGAAGGAUGCUGUGAUGGCAAGAGGACGUUUCAGUUUGUC
rnacentral:pre_miRNA from 1 species